UAGGGAAUCUUCGGCAAUGGGGGGAACCCUGACCGAGCAACGCCGCGUGAGUGAAGAAGGUUUUCGGAUCGUAAAGCUCUGUUGUUAAGGAAGAACGAGUGUGAGAAUGGAAAGUUCAUGCUGUGACGGUACUUAACCAGAAAGGGACGGCUAACUACGUGCCAGCAGCCGCGGUAAUACGUAGGUCCCGAGCGUUGUCCGGAUUUAUUGGGCGUAAAGCGAGCGCAGGCGGUUAGAAAAGUCUGAAGCGAAAGGCAGUGGCUCAACCAUUGUAGGCUUUGGAAACUGUUUAACUUGAGUGCAGAAGGGGAGAGUGGAAUUCCAUGUGUAGCGGUGAAAUGCGUAGAUAUAUGGAGGAACACCGGUGGCGAAAGCGGCUCUCUGGUCUGUAACUGACGCUGAGGCUCGAAAGCGUGGGGAGCGAACAGG
rnacentral:rRNA from 1 species